rnacentral:rRNA from 1 species
CGCGUAGGCGGCCAUCUUUGUCAGGCGUGAAAGCCCUGGGCUCAACCCAGGAAUUGCGCUUGGGACGGGACGGCUUGAGUUCGGGAGAGGAGAGUGGAAUUCCCAGUGUAGAGGUGAAAUUCGUAGAUAUUGGGAAGAACACCGGUGGCGAAGGCGGCUCUCUGGACCGAUACUGACGCUGAGGCGCGAAAGCGUGGGGAGCAAACAGGAUUAGAUACCCUGGUAGUCCACGCUGUAAACGAUGUGUGCUAGACGUUGGGAAGCCUAGCUUUUCGGUGUCGCAGCUAACGCGGUAAGCACACCGCCUGGGGAGUACGGCCGCAAGGUUAAA